rnacentral:tRNA from 1 species
AGUAGGGUCAGCUAACAAAGCUAUUGGGCCCAUACCCCAAAAAUGAUGGUUUAACUCCUUCUCCUACUA